CAACAACAUGCUCUCACAGAGGGCUCUCUGAGGAAGAGAAAGGUAGCCCUGUGUUACGAGGUCCUUAUUGAAAACCACUUCAGACGAGGACAGUUGUUCUGGUAAUAGCCUGACAAAGCGGAUCAGCUUCUGAGACAGCCUGGAACACCAUAUCAUGUGGUACUAUUAGCAUGCAUUCCCAAAGAAAGAGUUCACUGCAAGGCCAGAAACCACCUUGAAUAGGUGAACGGACCAUUGCUCGCCUCGACGAGACCAGCUGGGAUUCCUGUGCACUCAGGCGAAUCGACAAAGCUUUUCCAUAAGGCAAAAGGGGCAAAACAUACAAAAUCGGACUGGGUACCCAGAGCUUUGUGACUCCCACUUCACCCUGCACUCUCAACUCCGUUGUUAAUGCACGACCUGUGUCUGUUUGGUUUAGAUGAGUAUUGGCAUGCCUUCAAAGUGCACAGCAGGCAAAAGACAGGCACGUCACUGCUUUUGGCCUUCUUCACAUUAUUGCUGGCUGUAGGAGAUUACAGACAUACCAAUAUAAAAAAAAAAAUGUUUAUACACUCAUUGUAUGCUCUUGCCUUUUUGAAGAUAAUGGAAGUUUAGCCCUUGGCUAAAAUCACAUAGUUCAGGUAUAGGUGAAGGAUUAAAUUUUAAGGGUUUCAGGGUGUGUUAUUAAUGUUUACAUGUGUAUUAACAAUGAAGGGACAGUCAGCUACUGCCAAUCAAGAAGCAUGCCAGAAUAUAAUUGUGCUUUAUGACCUCCAUGUUUUUCUUAUUCAUGCACCACCAUCAUUAUUAUUAUGUCAUUUGUACUAGAUGUGAAUCAUAGGAACAACAAGAAGUUGAACAUAAUAGACAACAACAGCAACGGACAGCAAGCAACAUGUUCAACAAUAUAUAGCAAUUAUUGUGAAAUGACAUUUCACUGCGUAGCCCAGGUUUGUGUGCAAUAUAGCCAAGAGUGGCAAGUGAAAUUUGAGUACUUUUGACACAUCGUAUUUACUGGCAGAAGAGCAGAAUUGUUUCUUGACCUUGGUUCAUUUCAAUGGUAUUUUGAGGCAAAUUAUGAGUCUUGCAUGGGGCCCCUGUAUUGAAACAAAUCUUGUCACAAGGACACACAAAGUAUGGUUGGCAAAGAACUGGGCUCUUUUCAGUUCCAUAACCUACAGUUCUACAUGCAAAAAUAUCCCACGUUCAGCACUGUAAUUCAUCAAAUAACAUGCAUUAUUUACUCAUUUAAAAAAAAUAAAUCCUUAAUCGUAUAUUUGAUAAUUGCAUACUCCAUUUUGAAUUUGUCUGAACUGUACAUACCCUUUUAUGCAAGCACAGUGUUUGGAUUAAGUGUAUAAUUCCCUAAGAAAUUAGAAUUAUCAGGACAGCACAAUGGAUGUGAGAUAAAUGUUGCAUAGUGCCUUAUUUUGAAUUUCUUACUUACUUCUUAUUUCAAGUGCAUGACAUUACAAACAUGCAGUUGACUUACCAGGAGUCAGCUGUUAUUUUGCAUUAUCUGUAACUUCCUUAUUCCUUCAUAAACUCAGAUCAGCAUAAUCUCUCUUUCUAAUAAUCUUUUGCAUUUGUAUCUUUUAACUCACAUCACAAAGGUCUGUUCUGUUUAUCUAUACAGGCCGACUCACAAUGUUAGCAAUUCAGAAUUCAAAUGAAAAUUAUGUAUUUUGCCUUUCAGUAUUCAGCAAUAAAUUGAUAUGGAGCAGUCUUGCACAGAAUGGUAUAUUUCUGCUUGUUCAUACAAAUUAUACAUUGAAUUGUAU